rnacentral:rRNA from 1 species
UACGUAGGCAGCGAGCGUUGUUCGGAAUUACUGGGCGUAAAGGGCGCGUAGGCGGUGUGUCAAGUCAGGCGUGAAAGCCCCGGGCUCAACCUGGGAACCGCGCUUGAGACUGGCACGCUCGAGUUCGGGAGAGGAUGGUGGAAUUCCCAGUGUAGAGGUGAAAUUCGUAGAUAUUGGGGAAGAACACCGAUGGCGAAGGCAGCCAUCUGGACCGACACUGACGCUGAGGCGCGAAAGCGUGGGGAGCAAACAGG